AUUACAUUUCUAGUGGCGACGGGUGACGUAGCACGUUGGAACCUGCCCCAAAGUGAGGAAUAAGCCACCGAAAGGUGGUCUAAUACUUCAUAAUAUCCAUCUCGUAUGGAUUAAAGCUUUAUGCGCUUUGGGAGGGGCCUGCGUAACAUUAGCUUGUUGGUGAGGUAAAAGCUCACCAAGGCUUCGAUGUUUAACUGGUUUGAGAGGAUGACCAGUCACACUGGGACUGAGAUACGGCCCAGACUCCUACGGGAGGCAGCAGUAAGGAAUCUUCCACAAUGGGGCAACCCUGAUGGAGCAAUACCGCGUGCAGGAUGAAGCGUUUCGGCGUGUAAACUGCUUUUAUCACCGAAGAUUAUGACUGUAGGUGAAGAAUAAGGACCGGCUAACUACGUG
rnacentral:rRNA from 1 species